AAAUUGAAGAGUUUGAUCAUGGCUCAGAUUGAACGCUGGCGGCAGGCCUAACACAUGCAAGUCGAACGGUAACAGGAAACAGCUUGCUGUUUCGCUGACGAGUGGCGGACGGGUGAGUAAUGUCUGGGAAACUGCCUGAUGGAGGGGGAUAACUACUGGAAACGGUA
rnacentral:rRNA from 1 species